rnacentral:rRNA from 1 species
GACGAACGCUGGCGGCGUGCCUAAUACAUGCAAGUCGAACGCUGUUGCGAGGGGUUGAGUAACGGGUAGUUAACUGCCGUAUAGCAGGGGAUAACUAUUGGAAACGCUAGCUAAUACCUGAUACUGUGAGAUGGACCUGCGUUGUAUUCGCUAGUUGGUGAGGUAAAGGCUCACCAAGGCGACGAUCCAUAGCCGACCUGAGAGGGUGAGCGGCCACACUGGGACUGAGACACGGCCCAGACUCAUACGGGAGGCAGCAGUAGGGAAUCUUCGGCAAUGGACGAAAGUCUGACCGAGCAACGCCGCGUGAGUGAAGAAGGUUUUCGGAUCGUAAAACUCUGUUGUUAGAGAAGCGGUAUCUAACCAGAAAGCCACGGCUAACUACGUGCCAGCCGCCGCGGUAAUUC